AAGAACCUUACCUGGUCUUGACAUCCACGGAAGUUUUCAGAGAUGAGUAUGUGCCUUCGGGAACCGUGAGACAGGUGCUGCAUGGCUGUCGUCAGCUCGUGUUGUGAAAUGUUGGGUUAAGUCCCGCAACGAGCGCAACCCUUAUCCUUUGUUGCCAGCGGUCCGGCCGGGAACUCAAAGGAGACUGCCAGUGAUAAACUGGAGGAAGGUGGGGAUGACGUCAAGUCAUCAUGGCCCUUACGACCAGGGCUACACACGUGCUACAAUGGCGCAUACAAAGAGAAGCGACCUCGCGAGAGCAAGCGGACCUCAUAAAGUGCGUCGUAGUCCGGAUUGGAGUCUGCAACUCGACUCCAUGAAGUCGGAAUCGCUAGUAAUCGUGGAUCAGAAUGCCACGGUGAAUACGUUCCCGGGCCUUGUACACACCGCCCGUCACACCAUGGGAGUGGGUUGCAAAAGAAGUAGGUAGCUUAACCUUCGGGAGGGCGCUUACCACUUUGUGAUUCAUGACUGGGGUGAAGUCGUAACAAGGUAACCGUAGGGGAACCUGCGGCUGGAUCACCUC
rnacentral:rRNA from 1 species